UACAGAGGUCUCAAGCGUUGUUCGGAUUCAUUGGGCGUAAAGGGUGCGUAGGCGGCGCGGUAAGUCGGGUGUGAAAUCUCGGGGCUUAACUCCGAAACUGCAUUCGAUACUGCCGUGCUUGAGGACUGGAGAGGAGACUGGAAUUUACGGUGUAGCGGUGAAAUGCGUAGAUAUCGUAAGGAACACCGGUGGCGAAGGCGGCUUGCUGGGCCAGUUCUGACGCUGAGGAGCGAAAGCGUGGGGAGCGAACAGG
rnacentral:rRNA from 1 species